rnacentral:lncRNA from 1 species
CAACAAUGGCUCUCUCCGUCGAGAAAAGUAGCAGCGGCCGCGAGUACAAGGUCAAGGACAUGUCUCAGGCCGACUUCGGCCGCCUCGAGAUCGAGCUCGCUGAGGUCGAAAUGCCCGGCCUCAUCUCCUGCCGCACCGAAUUCGGACCCUCCCAACCCUUAAAGGGGGCCCGCAUCACCGGUUCCCUCCACAUGACCAUCCAAACUGCCGUCCUUAUUGAAACCCUUACCGCCCUCGGCGCCGAGGUCCGCUGGUGCUCCUGCAACAUUUUCUCCACCCAGGACCACGCUGCCGCCGCCAUCGCCCGCGAUAGCGCCGCCGUCUUCGCCUGGAAGGGCGAGACCCUCCAGGAGUACUGGUGGUGCACCGAGCGCGCCCUCGACUGGGGCCCCGGUGGCGGACCCGAUCUGAUCGUCGACGACGGCGGUGACGCCACCCUCUUGAUCCACGAGGGAGUCAAGGCUGAGGAGGAGUUCGAGAAGUCCGGUACCCUCCCCGACCCAUCUUCCACCGAUAACCAGGAGUUCCAGCUGGUUCUGACCAUCAUCAGAGAUGGCUUGAAGACCGACCCCAAGAGGUACCACAAGAUGAAGGACAGGUUGGUCGGAGUUUCGGAGGAGACCACAACCGGCGUCA